rnacentral:rRNA from 1 species
AGCUUGUGGGAGGAGAAAGGCUCCACAAGGGGUGGAAGGUUACCCGCCUUGAGAGGUGACCGGCCCCACGGGGAAUGAGACCGGGCCCAGAUUCCUACGGGAGGCAGCAGUGGGGAAUAUUGCACAAUGGGCGCAAGCCUGAUGCAGCAACGCCGCUUGAGGGAUGACGGCCUUCGGGUUGUAAACCUCUUUUAGCAGGGAAGAAGCGAAAGUGACGGUACCUGCAGAAAAAGCGCCGGCUAACUACGUGCCAGCAGCCGCGGUAAUACGUAGGGCGCAAGCGUUAUCCGGAAUUAUUGGGCGUAAAGAGCUCGUAGGCGGUUUGUCGCGUCUGCUGUGAAAUCCGGAGGCUCAACCUCCGGCCUGCAGUGGGUACGGGCAGACUAGAGUGCGGUAGGGGAGAUUGGAAUUCCUGGUGUAGCGGUGGAAUGCGCAGAUAUCAGGAGGAACACCGAUGGCGAAGGCAGAUCUCUGGGCCGUAACUGACGCUGAGGAGCGAAAGGGUGGGGAGCAAACAGGCUUAGAUACCCUGGUAGUCCACCCCGUAAACGUUGGGAACUAGUUGUGGGGUCCAUUCCACGGAUUCCGUGACGCAGCUAACGCAUUAAGUUCCCCGCCUGGGGAGUACGGCCGCAAGGCUAAAACUCAAAGGAAUUGACGGGGACCCGCACAAGCGGCGGAGCAUGCGGAUUAAUUCGAUGCAACGCGAAGAACCUUACCAAGGCUUGACAUAUACGAGAACGGGCCAGAAAUGGUCAACUCUUUGGACACUCGUAAACAGGUGGUGCAUGGUUGUCGUCAGCUCGUGUCGUGAGAUGUUGGGUUAAGUCCCGCAACGAGCGCAACCCUCGUUCUAUGUUGCCAGCACGUAAUGGUGGGAACUCAUGGGAUACUGCCGGGGUCAACUCGGAGGAAGGUGGGGAUGACGUCAAAUCAUCAUGCCCCUUAUGUCUUGGGCUUCACGCAUGCUACAAUGGCCGGUACAAAGGGCUGCAAUACCGCGAGGUGGAGCGAAUCCCAAAAAGCCGGUCCCAGUUCGGAUUGAGGUCUGCAACUCGACCUCAUGAAGUCGGAGUCGCUAGUAAUCGCAGAUCAGCAACGCUGCGGUGAAUACGUUCCCGGGUCUUGUACACACCGCCCGUCAAGUCAUGAAAGUCGGUAACACCUGAAGCCGGUACCUAACCUCUUGUGGAGCGAGACGAACAC